rnacentral:tRNA from 1 species
GUCCAGGUGCGAAGGAGCGGGCUACUUCGUUUUGGGAACGGGCGGUCGCGGGUUCGAAUCCCGCCGUCGACU